UGAGACUGAGUGGGCGGAACUCUGCCAGAGAAAGCUGCUGGUCUCCAUGGGAACCGUGGCAAACAUGACGCCCAUGCAGCAGCAGAUGAAAAUGUUGUUUGAGGAUCGUCAUCCCAAGAGUGUAGUGUCUGUGCAGGUGCAGCGCGAGGCAAAAGUGUCUAGAAAAUGAAACAGAACAGUUAAGAAGACCGGACAAGAUUCCAUGUGCAAAUGGACAUUGGAAGUCAGUGACUCCCAACAGGGGCUUUAGCCGAGAGGACUCGAAGAAAAGAUAGUUAGGAUGAGACCACCGUUUGAAUUUUCCGUCAAGACAAAUGUCAUAUCAAAGGGCGGUUGAUCUCUGACCCCGGUGGAAUCUCUUUGGUGCUGUAAAUGAGUAAGAGACUGUGGCCAGCAGCAACAGGGAUUUUUGUGGCUAUAGCUGGGGGUGCAGCACAUGCCACGCCGACUAAUAAUGUUGAGCUCCCAGUGUGCCGAUGGCUGGCGACAACAUGUGUGUCUAUAAAUUUUAGAUAUAAAGCUCAUUUGUCCAUUUGAAAGGAUCAUAUCCUUUAAAAGCUUAUUUUAGGUGCUGUUAUUUCACUCGUCACUAGGCUAUUGCAUGAGCAACACAAGCUAGUGCAUUAAAGGAUGAUAAUGAAAUUCUGUCUGUACUUACCCUUGUGUUCUUCCAA